CACCCAGGUGCCCCUCACCUGCAUUUUUUUUUUUUUUUUUAAAUGAGGAGACUGCUUUACUUGUGUAAUGAGAAAUUUAUAAAAGGAAACAAAAGUACCUCAUUCCUGGAGAGAGGAAACUUGUAUUUCUGCCCCGGUUCUGUUCCUAACUCGUGCAGGAAGUGGCGGCUUAACCAUUCUGUUCCUCCAUUUCUUUACCUUAAUGCGCAUGAGGCAAGGGCUCUGAGGCCCUGCCAGCCCUUCCACCGUGUGACUGAAUGCCUCCAUCAGUCUCUCCACCUGUCCAGAGACGCGUGGAUUGCUGGAUGGAGUUAUUUGGAAGUGUUAACAGAUGAAAAAACCCAAAGUUCCAACGAACGAAACAACACCAGACUAUUUGAUGGGGGAGACUGGGCUUCAACCCAGAGGCCAGCCUCCAGAGCCCUUGGUCUUAACCACCAUGCUUCACACCUGCUUAUAGUCAACUGGAACAUAAAACAGAAGAAAUAAAGGCUUUCGCUUGGUCGAAGGAGCUCACGCAUGUGGUCUGGCUCCCCCCAGCUCCACUCCAGCCACACUGACCUCCUCCCUGCUGCCCCGACUCACCACCUUGGUCCCUCCCCUGGGCUCUAGUGCGAGCUGUAACCUCUAUCACAGAAGCUUCCUGGUGGAGGUGA